rnacentral:lncRNA from 1 species
UUGAGCUGAUGAGGGCUUAAAGCCGAAGACAUUUCUUAAUUAAAGUUUUGUUUUUGGGUUGAAAUAGUGUUGGGUCUGCUCAUUCGUGCUGGGAAGUGUCCUUGAGAAUAGAUUUAUGAUUCCUAAUAGAGCAGUAAUGAAAAAUAGAUGUUGUUGUACUGUAUAGCUGAGCCAGCUAGGACUUAUGGAAGCGUAUUGGAGUGAACUGAGAACACGGUCGAUUAAACUACUUAAGGCAGAGGAGACGUGGGAAUUCCUGCAGCAAAGUAGACUCAAUGGGGUGUUCCCCAUGACUUUCUGGAACAUAAAACUACCGGUUGCCUCUAAGAAGAUCCUAGGGAACACGAGGAGAAUAUGCCUAAAAUCGGCAAUGACAAAUGCUAGGAGAAAAGUUUUCCAGUUAGCAGAAGAGAGGAAACAAUUAGAGCAAAAAAGAGUCAACCAAC